UUCGGGGGUCUGGACAGCUCAGCUUUCAGGGUCUGCUGGAGCCCUGACUCUUAUGCAGGCAGCUUUUAAUCUUUGGCCUGAAGACAAUGAGUUAAAGUGUGACUUGGUGUCAGGAGGAUUAACCCUAACCACAAACCACUGGAACUGAGAGCCAUCACUCAGCUGGAAACAACUUGUGAUACGGAUAAGAAGACUGAGGCCCGGACAGGACCAGUGUCGCCCAUGAUCACACUGCAAGUCUCAGACUCCACGCCUUUGACUCCUUUGUUCUCUGUGCUGUAUCAAAGAAGACAGUUUGGCUCAGAUCACGUUCUGGAAGCAUGGGGUUGAAAUGACCUGGAGAGUUCAGAAGACUCCAGCUGCCUACCAGCAUCUAAGCCGGAAAUUUCAGAACCAAAGUGACCCUUGUGCCUUGUUCCUGGCUACCCCAACCAGCAGGCCGUAUAAACCCAUCCAAAACCACUGUUUAAAAGCUGGAUCUACGCUGGGGAUGUAUCUCAUUGAUAAAGUACCCAUAUAGCAUGCA